CGAGGAUGUGAGCGUCUUUUGCCCCGUGAACGGUACGCGUAAUACGUAGUGCUUAGUUCUAGUGCAGUUUUUCAAACGGGAAAAUGACGGCGCGAACGGUCAAAACAUGUCUUAUGGAGCAUUCAUGACCUGAAACUUGCUAAACUGUGAGGUAA